UACAGAGGUCUCGAGCGUUGUUCGGAUUUAUUGGGCGUAAAGAGCUCGUAGGCGGCUCGGUAAGUCAGGUGUGAAAACUCUAGGCUCAACCUAGAGACGCCACCUGAUACUGCCGUGGCUAGAGUCCGGUAGGGGAGCAUGGAAUUCCUGGUGUAGCGGUGAAAUGCGCAGAUAUCAGGAGGAACACCAGUGGCGAAGGCGGUGCUCUGGGCCGGAACUGACGCUGAGGAGCGAAAGCGUGGGGAGCAAACAGG
rnacentral:rRNA from 1 species